rnacentral:rRNA from 1 species
GACGAACGCUGGCGGCGUGCUUAACACAUGCAAGUCGAACGGACAGACAGAGAGCUUGCUCUCUUGAAGUUAGUGGCGAACGGGUGAGUAACGCGUAAUCAACCUGCCCUUCAGAGGGGGAUAACAACGGGAAACCGUUGCUAAUACCGCGUACGAUUCAUGAACGGCAUCGUUUAUGAAUGAAAGGUGGCCUCUAUGUAUAAGCUAUCGCUGAAGGAGGGGAUUGCGUCUGAUUAGCUAGUUGGAGGGGUAACGGCCCACCAAGGCAAUGAUCAGUGGCCGGUCUGAGCGGAGGAACGGCCACAUUGGGACUGAGACACGGGCCAAACUCCUACGGGAGGCAGCAGUGGGGAAUCUUCCGCAAUGGUCAAAAGUCUGACGGAGCAACGCCGCGUGAGUGAUGAAGGUCUUCGGAUUGUAAAGCUCUGUUAAUCGGGACGAAAGAGUUCUGCGUGAAUAAUGCAGAAAAGUGACGGUACCGGAAUAGAAAGCCACGGCUAACUACGUGCCAGCCGCCGCCGUAA